rnacentral:tRNA from 14 species
CCCCGGCGGGGGCGCUGGCGGUCUUCGGAGAACUGGUGGGGGCGCUGCCGCCUCCUUCGGGGUUCGACUCCUGCAC